UACGUAGGGUGCGAGCGUUAAUCGGAAUUACUGGGCGUAAAGCGUGCGCAGGCGGUUGUGCAAGACAGGUGUGAAAUCCCCAGGCUCAACUUGGGAACUGCGUCUGAUACUGGUUGGCUUGAAUUCGGGAGAGGGAUGCAGAAUUCCAGGUGUAGCGGUGAAAUGCGUAGAUAUCUGGAGGAAUACCGGUGGCGAAGGCGGCAUCCUGGACCGAGAUUGACACUGAUGAGCGAAAGCCAGGGGAGCAAACGGG
rnacentral:rRNA from 1 species